rnacentral:rRNA from 1 species
UGAGGAAUAUUGGACAAUGGGCGCAAGCCUGAUCCAGCCAUGCCGCUUGCAGGAAGAAGCAUCCAUGGUGUGUAAACUGCUUAUGUACGGGAAGAAACACUCCUUCGUGAAGGAGCUUGACGGUACCGUAAGAAUAAGGAUCGGCUAACUCCGUGCCAGCAGCCGCGGUAAUACGGAGGAUCCAAGCGUUAUCCGGUAUCAUUGGGUUUAAAGGGUCCGUAGGCGGUUUAAUAAGUCAGUGGUGAAAGCCCAUCGCUCAACGAUGGAACGGCCAUUGAUACUGUUAGACUUGAAUUACAAGGAAGUAACUAGAAUAUGUAGUGUAGAGGUGAAAAGCUUAGAUAUUACAUGGAAUACCAAUUGCGAAAGCAGGUUACUACGUGUGGAUUGACGCUGAUAGACGAGAGCGUGGGGAGAGAAAA